CCGGAUGUACUGGGCGGAAAGAGCGCGCAGGCGGUCGUUCAAGGCGCGGGUGAAAGCCCCCGGCUCAACUGGGGAGGGUCACGCGAUACUGAUCGACUCGAAGGCAGGAGAGGGUAGUGGAAUUCCCGGUGUAGUGGUGAAAUGCGUAGAUAUCGGGAGGAACACCAGUGGCGAAGGCGACUACCUGGCCUGUUCUUGACGCUGAGGCGCGAAAGCUAGGGGAGCAAACGGG
rnacentral:rRNA from 1 species